UACGAGGGGGGCGAGCGUUGUUCGGAAUUAUUGGGCGUAAAGGGUGCGUAGGCGGUUUGGUAAGUCUGAUGUGAAAUCUCUGGGCUCAACUCAGAGUCUGCAUCGGAAACUGCCGGGCUUGAGUAUGGGAGAGGUGAGUGGAAUUCCUGGUGUAGCGGUGAAAUGCGUAGAUAUCAGGAGGAACACCUGUGGCGAAAGCGGCUCACUGGACCAUAACUGACGCUGAGGCGCGAAGGCGCGGGGAUCAAACAGG
rnacentral:rRNA from 1 species